GACGAACGCUGGCGGCGUGCUUAACACAUGCAAGUCGAACGGAGUGGGGAACGGGGGAGUAACACGUGGGUGACCUGCCCUGCACUUCGGGAUAUGACUGGGAAACUGGGUCUAAUACCGGAUAGUGUGGGAUGGGCCCGGGGCCUAUCGGCUUGUUGGUGGGGUAAUGGCCUACCAAGGCGGCGACGGGUAGCCGGCCUGAGCGGGUGGACGGCCACAUGGGGACUGAGAUACGGCCCAGACUCCUACGGGAGGCAGCAGUGGGGAAUAUUGCACAAUUGGCGGAAGCCUGAUGCAGCGACGCCGCGUGGGGGAUGACGGCCUUCGGGUUGUAAACUGCUUUCACCAUCGACGCGGUAGAUGGAGAAGAAGCACCGGCUAACUACGUGCCAGCAGCCGCGGUAAUAC
rnacentral:rRNA from 1 species